rnacentral:rRNA from 1 species
AGACCCGAAACCCGGUGAUCUAGCCAUGGGCAGGUUGAAGGUUGGGUAACACUAACUGGAGGACCGAACCGACUAAUGUUGAAAAAUUAGCGGAUGACUUGUGGCUGGGGGUGAAAGGCCAAUCAAACCGGGAGAUAGCUGGUUCUCCCCGAAAGCUAUUUAGGUAGCGCCUCGUGAAUUCAUCUCCGGGGGUAGAGCACUGUUUCGGCAAGGGGGUCAUCCCGACUUACCAACCCGAUGCAAACUGCGAAUACCGGAGAAUGUUAUCACGGGAGACACACGGCGGGUGCUAACGUCCGUCGUGAAGAGGGAAACAACCCAGACCGCCAGCUAAGGUCCCAAAGUCAUGGUUAAGUGGGAAACGAUGUGGGAAGGCCCAGACAGCCAGGAUGUUGGCUUAGAAGCAGCCAUCAUUUAAAGAAAGCGUAAUAGCUCACUGGUCGAGUCGGCCUGCGCGGAAGAUGUAACGGGGCUAAACCAUGCACCGAAGCUGCGGCAGCGACACUGUGUGUUGUUGGGUAGGGGAGCGUUCUGUAAGCCUGUGAAGGUGUGCUGUGAGGCAUGCUGGAGGUAUCAGAAGUGCGAAUGCUGACAUAAGUAACGAUAAAGCGGGU